rnacentral:rRNA from 1 species
UACGAAGGGGGCUAGCGUUGCUCGGAAUCACUGGGCGUAAAGGGUGCGUAGGCGGGUUGUUAAGUCGGGGGUGAAAUCCUGGAGCUCAACUCCAGAACUGCCUUCGAUACUGGCGACCUUGAGUCCGGGAGAGGUGAGUGGAACUCCGAGUGUAGAGGUGAAAUUCGUAGAUAUUCGGAAGAACACCAAUGGCGAAGGCAGCACUCUGGGACGUGACGUGACGCUGAGACGCGAAAGCGUGGGGAGCAACAGG